rnacentral:misc_RNA from 1 species
GCUCGACCGAUGCGCGCGCAUGCUUCAUUUCGCAACAAAGCGAAAUUUCUGGGAUGAUCGUUGGUGAUUUCACGCGUUGUAUUUAUUUGGCCAGCUACGCAAGAAACAUCGGCUUUUUGCGAUGUUACGAAGAACGAAAUCACGGUCGUGAGCCCGAAGAUCGUGUACAUGAAAAAUUAGGAUACAAUUCAUGAAAGUGACAAACUAUUCGAAGUACUUAGCACCAUGUGUAGGUUCCCUUCGUAGGCGUCACCAAAACGAUAUAUAUUCUACAUUCCAGCGAGAACUAGGGCGCAUUUAAUAACUAUUUAAUCAACACAUACCUCUAUAUAAGCCCCACUUCGACCAAGCCGACGCUACACCGUGUUGCUCUGGCAUCUCUCACGGCCACCUAUACUGACUCGGAGGGUGAGGACGGGGUGGAAGACGACCUUCAGGAGAAUUCGAGCACUCCCCAGGGGGCUGUCUCGCAAAAUGCCCAAGGUGGUCAGCCUCAGGCUC